rnacentral:rRNA from 1 species
GUACACGCUGUGACUAGCAUAUCAAUAAGCGGAGGAAAAGAAACUAACAAGGAUUCCCCUAGUAACAGCGAGUGAAGCGGGAAGAGCUCAAAUUUGAAAUCUUAAAGGGUUUCCCUUUACGAAUUGUAGUUUAAAGAAGUGUUUUCUGUUGAGGUUUUGGUAAAAGUUCUUUGGAAUAGGACAUCAUAGAGGGUGAGAAUCCCGUAUUUGACCUUUACUUUCAACUUUGUGAUACACUUUCAAAGAGUCGGAUUGUUUGGGAAUGCAGUCCAAAAUGGGUGGUAAAUUUCAUCUAAAGCUAAAUAUUGGCGAGAGACCGAUAGCGAACAAGUACCGUGAGGGAAAGAUGAGAAGAACUUUGAAAAGAGAGUUAAACAGUACGUGAAAUUGUCAAAAGGGAAGCGUUUAACACCAGUGUUGUUUUUCUGAAAAUCAAUUAAAGAACUGUUUAUGCUAAGCUGUUUAGACUUUAUCAGCUAUCUGUUUAGUUUUGAGCUUUUCUUUAAUGCACUUUUCAGUUAACAAGUCAACAUCAAUUUCUUUUGCUGUAAAAAAGCUUGAGGAAGGUGGCUUGAGAUUCGUCUUAAGUGUUUAUAGCCUCUUGCCUAUGCAGUCGGAGAGAUUGAGGUCUGCAGCGUAGAUCCUUCGGGGCUAAAUGCAUUUGUGCUAAGUUAUAGCAUUUUAUAGACAACUUGUUGACUAUGAUUUGUCUUGUAGCUUACUCGCUUAUGUUAUUUUACCUACGCUUAGGAUGUUGAAGAUGUAGCACAUCAU